CUCAUAUACGUGUAUGUGCACAUGAAUGUAUACGAGAAGCCAACCAGCUACACUCCUCACCAAAUUCAUGACCUGCAAGAAACAGCAAACAGAACUUGUACUCAGUACUUAUGUACUUAUGUACUUAUGUAGCCCUUUUGUGAUGUAGUGACGCGCGUUUCCACUGCAGGGUGCGGAACAGCAGGAAGACAUCGGAGAGGGGACGGGCAGAGAAACGAAACUACACGAACAGAAAUGGAGGUCGAUCAACGUAUCAUCGUCGCCGUGUGCGGCCGUCCUGUCCUGUACGACACCACGAUGGUGUCGUACAGGGACAGGAACAAAACAGAGAGGGCGUGGGUCGACGUGGCAGAGGAUAUUGGCGUUCCUGACCAGCCCAGCAGUGAGUCUGAUGUAGAGGACGCUGAUGCUGCUCCUGCUCCUGCUCCUGCCCCUGUCCCUGCCGCUGGCCCUUCCCAUGUACCUGUCCCUGAGGCUGCCCCUGCCCCAAGACCACAGGGCGCGACGAAGAGGAAGAGAGCAGCCAGGGUACCGGAGGGGAAUAAUGUCCAGACAGCCAUCCUCCAGGCCCUGCAGAGGCAUAAUUCUGUCCCUACCCCUACCCCCCUUUCUGGGAAUGAGCACUUUGCCAUGGGCCUAGUUCCUUCCCUGGAUAGAUUGCCACCUGAAGUACUGGAGCACGUUAAAUUCCAAACCGUAAAAGUCAUAUUUGACCAAUCUAAUUUCACCGUUCAAUUGGAACCUAUUUAAGCUUAUUAGCUAGUGGUGGUGACAAUCUCUCCAGGGAAAGAACUAGGCUGAUG
ensembl:lncRNA